ACCACCCAAUCAACCACCGGUCAUGCCCUCCCCCUCCUCCUCUCCCGCGAAGCCCCAUCGCCGAUCGCUCCCUUCGCCCCACGGCCGCGUCUGCGCGCGGGUGGCCGGCCCCAUUAGAUUCGUUUGUUGCGGGCGCUGAACUAUGGAUCUGGCGCUCCGUUCGUCUCCGGGUAGGGACUGGCGCUCUUGCUGACCCCGUUGGUGGUUCUAGAUGGAUGGAUUGGUGCGUACAAGACGGGCUUAGUUGCUGACUGAUUCCGGCGUUUCCCAGCCGAGUCAGAGAGUGCGAGUUCCUAGGUUAAGCCACACAUGUCGCUGAAUGUUGUCUGAUUAGAGUGUCGACACUAAUAAUAUGAUGUAGUUUUCAAACAAUUUUUUGUUGCGACUUCUGGGUAUUCAGGAUCAGCUGCUCUGCUGCAAUCCAUCACAUGGAGCAGUCGUUCUUGGCAGGGCAUUCGAAGUCGAUGCGCUGCCUAUGCCUCUUGACCUGUAGCCACAAGAAGCUAAAAGAGCCAUGGUUCUCUCUCUCUCUCUCUGUAGUACAUAAAUAAAUCUUUUCAAUUUCAUACUUCAAUGACGCAAGGAUCUAAAUCAACAUACUGCCAAUGCCAACCACUUGUAGAGAUACCAAGGUUAGUGCAAUUGUGGAGACAUUGUUUUAUUCUACAGUGUCGUAUAUCGUUUCAGCAUUUGAAUAGGUGAGAGGGAGUACAUUAUAUACACAAGCAAUUGCUACAAGAACCUUAAGCUUUAUUCAAUAACGUAUGUUGUAUGAGGUCAUUGGUUAGGACUAUCGGAUCAUCUCGGUCACUAGCACGACAUCUGAUGUUGGUGGCGCAUGUUGACUGCACUGAUCCAAGGCAAGCUGCAGGACUUGUUGGUACCUUUCUUUUCUGAUGGCGCCAAGCAAACGACAUUGGAGACACGCAUGCCCCCAUUAAGAAGCCACAAUUCUUCACAUGUGAGGUAAGGAAAACCAUGGAGUGGAGGGUGUUUCGCCUGUAUGGCCCUCGGAGACGGGGAUCUCCUCCUACUUGGUGAAAGUCAUCGUGGAGGAGGCUGAUUCAUCUUCAAGUUUUAUCCCUGUAAUUCCCUCUCCUGCAGUUCCAGCCUUGUGAUCAAUUCAACACAAGCAGAUAAAAUUUUCAAAAUAAAGAAUUAAAUUGUGAUCCUGACUCAA